CUCUCGUCAGCCGCUCUUUUGCCGAUGUUAAUAGCAUACAGGACAGCUGAGCUUGCCGUUGUUGUUUUGACUUGUUAAUAAAGAGAACCCCUGAUCUUGGGCAUGAUGUUAAAGUGCAUCCGGCAGUGGAGGCUCCUCUAUGGGGUCUUGGGGCACUAGGAGGUUAACCCCUUUACUACUGUUACCCCAGGCGGCCCUUGGCAAAGGCCUAGUACCUGACUGCCCCCUAGCCAUGGAUACGGUGAAGACCUCAACGGCGGAGCAGGCGGA